UUGACAGUUUGGCUUCCCUGUUCUGGGUGGCAAAGCCUGUGGAGUACUCACCUACCUGCUGCAUGAAGGCAGCAUGGAGGGACUGUGGUGGAUUAUCUGCAAAGAUGGCCAAAAUUCUCUCAUCCCUGCAGGCACAUACAAGGUUGUUGCAUGGCAUAAGUAAAAUGACAGCCAAAGGAUACAUGCAACUUUUCAGGGACAAAGAUCUGUGCAGCAUCGACAGUACUGCCUAAUGAGGUUUCACCAUAAUGAAGUAUUACAACCAGUUUACAGACCAGAAAACUGAGACACAGGAAGGGGUGGUGACUUGAGCAAGGUGCAUCAGCUGGAAAUUGAGGUAUACGGAAUGCUUAUUUGGUUUACUCAGUAUCAUCCUAAAUGUAUGUACCAAUGCUUAGGAGUUUGCAGUUCACCCGCAAACCUCAGCGAUCCAAGCUCCCCUGGAUGACCAUCACUCACCAAGAAAAGAACAAUAACAGGACCUGUUUUGCUAAUCCAGGACUGUUCUCCAGCACUAACUCUAAAUAAUCCCUUCUGCUAGAGUCCACUUUCUGGAACCUGUUGCCUCCGUUUUCAACGUUUCCCAAACUUGGUCCGUUGUGUGAGCUGGCUGAUAAAAGUUCCAGAGGUCACAUAGGUACAUUCACUCACUUUCAACCAAUAUUUCUUAAGACUGUGUUAUGCUGUGCACAGGAGACACAGAAAUAGAUGACCC
rnacentral:lncRNA from 1 species